GUAGCUUCCUGGCAAGGGAGAUACCAUGAUCAUGAACGUGGCUUUCUCAGGGUGAGGCUUAUCUACUGCACUCCAGAUAUGUUGACCGUUGUCAUGUCCUCAAACAUAGGGAACACAACUGCAUAAUUUGUGGAAAUGAGAGUUUAUAUUAACACUCUCC